rnacentral:lncRNA from 1 species
GAAUAAUUAUAUUACAAUACAUAAUACAACACAAUAUACAAUACAACACAAUACACUAUACAACACAAUACACUAUACAACACAAUACACUAUACAACACAAUACACUAUACAACACAAUACACUAUACAACACAAACUUAAAUACAGAAUACACAAUAUAAAUUUGAAUUACAAUACAAUACACAUUACAACACAAUAAACAAUACACAAUACAACACAUUUCAAUAACAAUACAAAUUUCAAUGACAAAUACAAAUUUCAAUGACAAAUACAAAUUUCAAUUACAAUACAAAUUUUUAUAACAAUACAAAUUUCAAGUACUGAGACUAUCUAACACAUAAACGGCACUAUCCUUUUUCGUUUGCAGAGAUGUAAUCCAAUGAGAUUUUCCGGUAUGGUGAAUUUGCACACAUGGUGUAUCUUGACUGAUGAAUGUCCCGAAAUUUUCUGUCCAACACUGUUUAUCUUCAUCGAAAAGAGGCGCUAAACCUGUUCGUUGUAAUCAAGAUAUAAGUGGGAAUUGUUUCGCUAUUAUAUUCAUGCUCACAUUUAUAAUUUCGGAACAUAGCCAUGAAUUAUUUUCCAACAUAAGUUUGUGUUCUGAAUUUAAACUGGCUACCCAAGGUGUACAAUGUAUGGUUUGAACUCUUAGCGUUUGUU